AUACUCUGGUUUCUCCAGAUCACAUAAAUCUUUCUUUUUUUACUAAAGAUUUCUAUGGAGAGGAACAGUUCUGAGUUGUGAGCAAUUUUUUGAGGCCUUGCUUUGGCAAGGCU